UACGUAGGGCGCGAGCGUUGUCCGGAAUUAUUUGGGCGUAAAGGGCUCGUAGGCGGUUUUGUCGCGUCGGGAGUGAAAUCCACUGGCUUUAACUGGUGGCUUUGCUUUUCGAUACGGCAGACUGGAGGUAUGCAGGGGGAGAACGGAAUUCCUGGUGUAGCGGUGAAAUGCGCAGAUAUCAGGAGGAACACCGGUGGCGAAGGCGGUUCUCUGGGCAUGUCCUGACGCUGAGGAGCGAAAGUGUGGGGAGCGAACAGG
rnacentral:rRNA from 1 species